AAGACCUGAGAGGUCUGGAAGGUUGAUACAACAACAGCAGAUAUUUAAUGUAUUUUGGUGCUAAGCCGUUCAGUGAUUUAUAAACUAACAACAGUAUUUUAAAGGCUAUUCUCUGAGUUUUGAUAAAUCAGUCAUUGUCAAACAUCAGCUACAUACUUCUCUUACUUUUACAUCUUAAUGCCUUUCAUAUACAACUACUUGAUUGUGUUUUACCGUCAUACUUUCACUGUCAGGUUAAAACAGCAAAUGGUGUAGUUGUGUGAGUGCAAUACCAUCUCCACCCAGCUGGCACGUGGCUCACAGAAAAUCAAGCACACCCGUCUCUCUCACUCAGGCCUUCAGGAGCCUAUAAGGCAACUCAGCACACCUGUGUUUGGGAUAAUCUCUACAAACAAAGACCUCAUCUUUAAGCUCCUGCAGAAACACCACUGGUUUUCAACCUGCUUGGGUGUCAUGUAUUGGAAAGUACAGUGAUUUAAAGAAAAAAGAGAAAAGAGAAAUAAAAUAAAAGGAUGACACUGAGAA